ACUCCUACGGGAGGCAGCAGUGGGGAAUCUUGCACAAUGGGGGAAACCCUGAUGCAGCGACGCCGCGUGAGCGAUGAAGCCCUUCGGGGUGUAAAGCUCUUUCGUCAGGGAAGAUAAUGACGGUACCUGGAGAAGCAGCUGCGGCUAACUACGUGCCAGCAGCCGCGGUAAUACAGAGGGUGCAAGCGUUGUUCGGAAUUAUUGGGCGUAAAGGGCGCGUAGGCGGUGCUGUAAGUCUGUGGUGAAAUCUCUGGGCUCAACUCAGAGUCUGCCAUAGAAACUGCAGUGCUGGAGUGUGGGAGAGGUGAGUGGAAUUCCCGGUGUAGCGGUGAAAUGCGUAGAUAUUGGGAAGAACACCAGUGGCGAAAGCGGCUCACUGGACCACAACUGACGCUGAGGCGCGAAAGCUAGGGGAGCAAACAGGAUUAGAUACCCUGGUAGUCCUAGCCCUAAACGAUGGAUACUUGGUGUGUCCGGGAUUGAAUCCGGGCGUGCCGAAGCUAACGCAUUAAGUAUCCCGCCUGGGGAGUACGGUCGCAAGGCUGAAACUUAAAGGAAUUGACG
rnacentral:rRNA from 1 species